GAGCUCGUAGUCUAGUUGGUUAUGACGUCGCCCUUACACGGCGAAGAUCGUCGGUUCAAAUCCGACCGAGCUCA
rnacentral:tRNA from 1 species